CCUACGGGAGGCAGCAGUGAGGAAUAUUGGACAAUGGGCGCAAGCCUGAUCCAGCCAUGCCGCGUGCAGGAUGACGGUCCUAUGGAUUGUAAACUGCUUUUAUACAGGAAGAAACACCUCUACGUGUAGAGACUUGACGGUACUGUAAGAAUAAGGAUCGGCUAACUCCGUGCCAGCAGCCGCGGUAAUACGGAGGAUCCAAGCGUUAUCCGGAAUCAUUGGGUUUAAAGGGUCCGUAGGCGGUUUAGUAAGUCAGUGGUGAAAGCCCAUCGCUCAACGGUGGAACGGCCAUUGAUACUGCUAGACUUGAAUUAUUAGGAAGUAACUAGAAUAUGUAGUGUAGCGGUGAAAUGCUUAGAGAUUACAUGGAAUACCAAUUGCGAAGGCAGGUUACUACUAAUUGAUUGACGCUGAUGGACGAAAGCGUGGGUAGCGAACAGGAUUAGAUACCCGGGUAGUCCACGCCGUAAACCGAUGGAUACUAGCUGUUGGGGGUCAACCGUCAGUGGNGUAGACGAAGUAGAUAAGUAUCCCACCGUCGGGGUAGGUACGGUUCGUCGAAGAAGUAGAACGUACGAAGUAGUAGUUAGUACGGUCGUGAGACGUAGCCGACGGACGACGACGAGGGGAGGUUAGGG
rnacentral:rRNA from 1 species